UUGGAUUAUGGAUUUGAGGCAAGGAAAACAAGUAAGAAAAGAUCACAAGUCACAACUUUAAUGAAGAAGUCGGCAAUUUAGUUUAAAGAUUGAAUUUAACUGCAGUUUUGGGGUAUGGUCUUAUCUCCCCUGCCUCAUUUAAGAUUAUCGGUUUAUGAUUAGAGUUUGGUGUGGUUGUGCAAGUCGGAGUUGCAUAGCUGUUGUUUUGUUCAAGGAUUUAUGCAGAGUAGCAGCAUCGGUUACUUAUGGGUUAGUGUUUUAAUAAAUAAGCUUAUUUACUCUUUUGGGGAUAUUGUUUGAAAUUUUGUUCUUACAACUGUUAUUCUUCAAAACGUUUUGUGGAAAAAAAUAUGUGGGUUUUAAAGUUUGGGGUUUUAUGGAUACAGGGGCUUUGUUAAGCAUUUAUGCAUUUGUCUAUGUAUACUAACUCUUUGAUGUUAGACAAGUCCAAUAUGACUUAGGUCAAAAACGAUUAAACUCAAAAUAGGUUUUGGUCAUAAUGGACCGAUUUUAAACAAUCCCAAUUUGGUUCGGGUCAGUCAAAACGGGUUCUAAAAACCAAAUCAUGUCAAUAUGUAUUCUGCUCAAUAUAUGUUCAGGUCAAAACUGGUUAAAAUGCUUUAUUUAAGAAAAUAUAUAUCAAAUAACCAAAGUUAUAAAA
rnacentral:lncRNA from 1 species